rnacentral:rRNA from 1 species
UUCGCAAUGCCCGAAAGGGUGACGAAUCGACUCCGCGUGCGGGAAGAAGGCCUUCGGGUUGUAAACCGCUGUCGGGAGUUAGGAAAUGCAAGGAUGUUAAUAGCAUUUUUGCUUGACUAAGGCUCCGGAGGAAGCCACGGCUAACUCUGUGCCAGCAGCCGCGGUAAUACAGAGGCGGCAAGCGUUGUUCGGAAUUAUUGGGCGUAAAGAGCACGUAGGCGGCCGUGCAAGUCAGUUGUGAAAGCCUUCCGCUUAACGGAAGAACGGCAUCUGAUACUACAGGGCUUGAGUACGGGAGGGGAGAGUGGAACUUCUGGUGGAGCGGUGAAAUGCGUAGAUAUCAGAAGGAACGCCGGCGGCGAAAGCGACUCUCUGGUCCGAAACUGACGCUGAGUGUGCGAAAGCUAGGGGAGCAAACGGGAUUAGAUACCCCGGUAGUCCUAGCCGUAAACGAUGGGCACUAAGUAGAGGGG